GGGAACUGCAGCAAGACAACAGCAAGACACAAGGAAUGGCCAAAAAAGAUGCAAAGCUGCCACCAAAAAGUGCCACCAGCAAGAUAAAAUCUAGAACAAGCUAUGUCUAGCUACAAGCUUUGUUGAAGUGCUGGUUUGAGAAGGGGAUAGGAAACCAAGGCCCAGCUACUAAUUUAACUUCUAGUCAUCCUAUGGACUGGUUCAGACUGGUUCCAGACUGGUUCCAGAUCGGCAAAGGAGUAAGACAAGGCUGUAUACUUUCUCCUUCUUUAUUCAAUUUAUAUGCUGAACAUAUACUGGGAGAAGAUGGAUUGGAAGAAGAUGAGUGUGGUUUUAAAGUUGGAGAAAGAAACAUCAAUAACUUGCACUACGUUGAUGAUACCACUCUGAUAGCUGAGGAUGCGGAUGAUCUGCAAGCUCCAGUAUGAAAGUCAAGGAGCACAGUGAAAAAAUGGGACUACGACUAAAUGUAAAGAAAACUAAACUAAUGACAAUGGGUACAGCAACCAGCCCCAGAAUUGAUAACGAAGACACUGAAAUGGUGGAUAGAUUCUGCCUUUUAGGAUCGACCAUCAAAAGCAAAGGAUACAGCAGCCAAGAAAUACUCUGCAGACUAGCACUUGGUAGGGUUGCAAUGAAGGCCUUGGAAAGGAUAUUUUGAUGCUGUGACAUUUCUAUACCUAUAAAUAUUAGAAUUGUUCAGACCAUGGUUUUUCCCAUGACACUCUAUGGAUGCGAAAGCUGGACUUUAAAGAAGCAAGAUAGAAAAAGUAUUGAUGCUUUUGAACUUUGGUGCUGGAAAAGACUUUUGAGGAUACCAUGGACAGCCAGGAAAACAAGCAAAUGGAUCACAGAACAAAUCAAUCCAGAACUUUCACUCGAGGCACAAAUGAUCAGACUCAAAUUAUCAUACUUUGAACACAUUAUGCAAAAACCCAGCUCCCUUGAGAAGUCCAUAAUGCUGGGAAAAGUUGAAGAAAAGAGAAGAGGAUGACCAGGAGCAAGGUGGAUGGACUCGAUUAAGACAACAAUGAAUGCACCACUGAUAAACCUUAAAGGCCAAGUUAAAGAUAGAUCAUACUGGAGAGAAUCUUUCUAUAUGGUCACUAAGAGUCAACACCGACUUGACAGCAAUCAAUCAAUCAAUCAAUCAUCAUAUGGCUGAGCCCUCUUUUACCUCGGUUCUGGCAAAUGGGAAGGGAGUACAUUUUAUUUACUUAAGGUGAAUUUGUACC